rnacentral:lncRNA from 1 species
UUGUGUCUACUUCAAAUGUUGUGUUGAAAAAAUUUCAUAAUCUCAAAGGAAAUACAUGUGAUAAUGCAAAACAUUAUAGGUCACUUUGGACCAAAUGCAUUGAAAGACAAAAAAGUCCAACUUCAAGUGCCCAUAACUUCUUCAUCAAAAAUCCAAAUGAUGAAAAAUUUAAGUCCAUUUUGAUUGUCUUGAAAAGAUAUACAACUCUGAUGUUGGAGGUUUUUCCAUUUGAAGUUGGUUCAUUUUGACAAAAUUCUCAAAGACAUAUUUUGUG